rnacentral:lncRNA from 1 species
AUAAAACCCUGUUGGCAACAGAGUUCUCUGGGGUUCAAUUGCUUGGGUAUUCCACAUAGAUGUUAGCUCCAUUUUCUGAAAUAAUUUUUGUUUCUGCUUACCAUUGUGCAAAGUGUUGAGGUAUGAAGAUGAAUAAAAAGUUUGGUAUUAAGGAAAAUAACUUCAAGCAACUGAACACUGAUAGAUUAUACCCAUUGAAUGAGGUGAAAAUAUGCCAUCAAAAGAACAGACUAAAAAGACAGGCAGAAUGGCAAGACUACUGAGUUAAUCAGAUCACUAACCCAAACAUGAUAAAAGACUGGAAAUCUACGUCUGGAAAUAACUCAGUGUGACAACAGCAUGCAAUUCAAACACAGUAAAGAGCACAUCACUAUAUAAAAGUCUCUUCAGGAAUUAGCCCAGAAAAUCUGUUUAUUUUGACCAAAUUCACAGUAAAAUCAAGAGUGACACUGAUUCAAUUGAAAAUGUGAAACUGCUCUAUUAUUCCAGACAGAGCAAUUCAUCAUCAAGCCACAUAAUUACUUGGAAAAGCUUUGAUUUGCACAGAAUCCAAGUGUUUUCCAAAUCAUAAUAUUGUAUUUUGCUAAAAGUUUUCUGCUUUGUGAUAUUUAACGGAUU